rnacentral:tRNA from 1 species
GCCGGCAUCGGCUAACCAGGCAUGCCGCGAAGUUGAACGCUUCGUAUCCUUUGGGAUAUCGGGGUUCAAAUCCCCGUGCAGGCG